rnacentral:rRNA from 1 species
AGAUUGAACGCUGGCGGCAGGCCUAACACAUGCAAGUCGAGCGGUAGAGAGGUGCUUGCACCUCUUGAGAGCGGCGGACGGGUGAGUAAUGCCUAGGAAUCUGCCUGGUAGUGGGGGAUAACGCUCGGAAACGGACGCUAAUACCGCAUACGUCCUACGGGAGAAAGCAGGGGACCUUCGGGCCUUGCGCUAUCAGAUGAGCCUAGGUCGGAUUAGCUAGUUGGUGAGGUAAUGGCUCACCAAGGCGACGAUCCGUAACUGGUCUGAGAGGAUGAUCAGUCACACUGGAACUGAGACACGGUCCAGACUCCUACGGGAGCAGCAGUGGGGAAUAUUGGACAAUGGGCGAAAGCCUGAUCCAGCCAUGCCGCGUGUGUGAAGAAGGUCUUCGGAUUGUAAAGCGUACUUUAAGUUGGAGAAGGGCAGUUACCUAAUACGUAUCUGUUUGACGUUACGACAGAAUAAGCACGCUAACUCUGU